rnacentral:rRNA from 1 species
UACAGAGACUGCAAGCGUUAUUCGGAUUCACUGGGCGUAAAGGGUGCGCAGGCGGCCGAGUGUGUUAGAUGUGAAAUCCCGGGGCUCAACCCCGGAACUGCGUCUAAAACUACUUGGCUAGAGUAUUGGAGAGGUAAGCGGAAUUCCUGGUGUAGCGGUGAAAUGCGUAGAUAUCAGGAGGAACACCUGUGGUGUAGACAGCUUACUGGACCACUUCUGACGCUGAGACACGAAAGCGUGGGUAGCAAACAGG